CAGUGCUCGCUCUUUAUUGGAGUUAACGGUAUAUUAGGACAUAUAAUUUGUGGUUGUCUAGAGCUUUUAUUGGGUCCCAAACCUGUCUUAAGUGA